GCCCUGGUGGCUCAACAGUUAAGCACUCAGCUGCUAACUGAAAUGUUGGCGGUUCGAAUCCACUCCCUUGCU
rnacentral:tRNA from 1 species